UACGUAGGGCGCAAGCGUUGUCCGGAAUCACUGGGCGUAAAGGGCGCGUAGGCGGCCUGAUAAGUAGGGGGUGAAAUCUUGCGGCUCAACCGCAAGGCUGCCUUCUAAACUGUCAGGCUGGAGCACGGUAGAGGCAGAUGGAAUUCCCGGUGUAGCGGUGGAAUGCGUAGAGAUCGGGAAGAACACCAGUGGCGAAGGCGGUCUGCUGGGCCGUUGCUGACGCUGAGGCGCGACAGCGUGGGGAGCAAACAGG
rnacentral:rRNA from 1 species